rnacentral:rRNA from 1 species
CAGUAGCCGCGGGAAUACGAAGGGGGCUAGCGUUGUUCGGAUUUACUGGGCGUAAAGCGCACGUAGGCGGACUUUUAAGUCAGGGGUGAAAUCCCGGGGCUCAACCCCGGAACUGCCUUUGAUACUGGAAGUCUUGAGUAUGGUAGAGGUGAGUGGAAUUCCGAGUGUAGAGGUGAAAUUCGUAGAUAUUCGGAGGAACACCAGUGGCGAAGGCGGCUCACUGGACCAUUACUGACGCUGAGGUGCGAAAGCGUGGGGAGCAAACAGGAUUAGAGACCCGCGUAGUCCCUGUCUCUUAUAC